UUUUAUGUCCAUUCACGUUCCAACUUCUGAUGUUCUCUUUUUGAUGUUCUCUCUAUCUCAAAGAGCAAAGGCCGCACCUCCUUCUGCUACGACCCCAAUCCUUCUACUCCGGUAGGAGCUUAAUCGCAUCAACCAACUCUGGUCCAACAAUUUCCUUUCAAUUUCGGUUUGAUGCAGGGCUUUGAUUCUGAAUUUAGACACCAGUUAUCUUGAUGUAUAUGGCUACUGAGAUGAUGUGACGGUGAUUGAAUCUGAAUGGAACCGUCCCUAUUUCGAAUAAGGUUGAAGAAGUGUGGUUAAUUAGCUGUUGUUAGGACAAUUAGUUGAAUGUUAGACUGAUUCAAUUAGCAAGUGGUGAAUUUUUCAGCUUAUUGUGAUGAAAGGUGUGAUGGUUGUUUCAGAAUAACUAACCUUAGUAAGUGUUCACGUUGUCAAGUUGUAUACUCUUUCGAGGCAUCAAGAAGGAACUCCUUGAAGCCUUCCCCGCCCACUAAAGAUGCAAACCAUAGACAUGGGCAAGGGAGCAGUAAAAUUGGUCCUUUAAGUAGUCGGAUGAAUGUUCUGCACUUAAGUUCUGCUAACUGAAUGCUUAACAUGGUGUGAAUGUGAUAGAGAUGCCCUGCAUACAAACAUGGAGCCUGCAUAUUUAUGGGGUAUUUUUGUCCAUGGAGAUGUUACAAAUAUGCUACAAGAUUGAAAAUUUCUUAGCUUCUCUUUUGAGGCUAAUUUAUUGUU